AUGAAGGGCCCUUGAGUGUGCCAGCAUUGCAUUUACCCCAGGCCGUCCAACGUUGGCUGCUGCCUCAUAAACAGCGACUUGGUGUUGUGGUGACUCAAAGCCAGGCUAAUCCGCCAUUGCCACAGAUGGAAUCUGAUUGGGGAUUUUCAUCUUGUUAUCUUUGCCUGGCGUGAGUCUGCAAGGCUUUGGGCAAUUCCUCCAGGGAAUGGAAGGAGCCACCAUCAUUUAUUUCUUGGAAGGAGCUAUUGCAGUGCUCUCUGCAGAGUUGCCAUGGAGAUCUGCCUCCGUGUUUCACAAGGACAAAGGCAAAACCGUGAGGAAAGGAUAAAUCCAUCUCCAGCGUACAGAAGGGGACAAAUUAAAUGAACAAACACAACGUGGCUGAUACAAUCGAAUGCGCAGCACAAUUAAACAGCCGUUACCAAACCUCACCGAAUGUGACACUUUCAUUGCUUUAAAGGGAUCAGUCUGGGCUGUUUGCAGAUUGUUUAGAAUGAGAGGCUAUCCUUGUGCUACCUCAAGCGUCCUCUGAAACUAGCUAUGCUGGUUAAGUCUUCUGGCUGGUCCCCUGCUGGUGAGAGGAUGACUCAUGCUCAGAGUGACCUUCUGUCAUACCGCCCUCAAUAAUAUUGACAGAGGCUUGCCUGUGGUCCUUACAUUCAUCUUCAUUAGCACUUGGCUUUAAGCAUCAAUGUCAUUGUCCGCUCCUGGGAGGCCUUCACUGCUAUCUCUGCCUCUGUCUGCCCCAGUCUCCUCAUCUUCCUGCCGUGGCUUAGCUUAGAGGGAACUUAAUCAGACUAUCAUCCGAGACAUGUUUGCCUGCAAUCUGCCCUUUUUAUCUGUGAAAACUAGGGCAAGGAGGAGGAAAACAUUGAUCUUGGAAGGUAAUUGCUUAAAGGGAUACUUCACCUCAAAAUUUGAAUUUGUCAUCAUUUACUCGCCAUUUGACAAGCAAAGAACCGAUGAUGGAUAUUCCUCAGGGGCCAAGAUAUUAUUCAAAUUUGAGUUCCAAAGAAGAAAUAAGGUCAUACAGGUUGAGUAAAUGAUGACAGAACUUUAAUUUGCUGUAACUUUGU